AACGAACGUUGGCGGCGUGGAUUAGGCAUGCAAGUCGCGGGAAUCCCAGCAAUGGGGGAACCGGCGUAAGGGGCAGUAAUGCGUGGGUACCUACCCCGGGGUCCGGGAUAGCCGUCCGAGAGGGCGGGUAAUACCGGAUGACCUCGGGAGAGCAAAGCUCCGGCGCCCCGGGAGGGGCCCACGUGAUAUUAGCUAGUUGGUGAGGUGACGGCUCACCAAGGCGGAGAUGUCUAGCGGGUGUGAGAGCACGACCCGCGCCACUCGCACUGAGACACUGGCGAGACACCUACGGGUGGCUGCAGUCGAGGAUCUUCGGCAAUGCGCGCAAGCGCGACCGAGCGACGCCGCGUGGGCGAUGAAGGCCUUCGGGUUGUAAAGCCCUGUCGAGGGGGAGAAAAGCGGGAAACCGUGUGAUCUAUCCCUGGAGGAAGCUCGGGCUAAGUUCGUGCCAGCAGCCGCAGUAACAC
rnacentral:rRNA from 1 species